GACGAACGCUGGCGGCGUGCUUAACACAUGCAAGUCGAACGAAGAGCGAUGGAAGCUUGCUUCUAUCAAUCUUAGUGGCGAACGGGUGAGUAACGCGUAAUCAACCUGCCCUUCAGAGGGGGACAACAGUUGGAAACGACUGCUAAUACCGCAUACGAUCUAACCUCGGCAUCGAGGAUAGAUGAAAGGUGGCCUCUAUUUAUAAGCUAUCACUGAAGGAGGGGAUUGCGUCUGAUUAGCUAGUUGGAGGGGUAACGGCCCACCAAGGCGAUGAUCAGUAGCCGGUCUGAGAGGAUGAACGGCCACAUUGGGACUGAGACACGGCCCAGACUCCUACGGGAGGCAGCAGUGGGGAAUCUUCCGCAAUGGACGAAAGUCUGACGGAGCAACGCCGCGUGAGUGAUGACGGCCUUCGGGUUGUAAAGCUCUGUUAAUCGGGACGAAAGGCCUUCUUGCGAAUAGUUAGAAGGAUUGACGGUACCGGAAUAGAAAGCCACGGCUAACUACGUGCCAGCAGCCGCGGUAAUACGUAGGUGGCAAGCGUUGUCCGGAAUUAUUGGGCGUAAAGCGCGCGCAGGCGGAUUGGUCAGUCUGUCUUAAAAGUUCGGGGCUUAACCCCGUGAUGGGAUGGAAACUGCCAAUCUAGAGUAUCGGAGAGGAAAGUGGAAUUCCUAGUGUAGCGGUGAAAUGCGUAGAUAUUAGGAAGAACACCAGUGGCGAAGGCGACUUUCUGGACGAAAACUGACGCUGAGGCGCGAAAGCCAGGGGAGCGAACGGG
rnacentral:rRNA from 1 species